rnacentral:rRNA from 1 species
AUGAACGCUGGCGGCGUGCCUCAUCCAUGCAAGUCGAGCGAACAGACGAGGAGCUUGCUCCUCUGACGUUAGCGGCGGACGGGUGAGUAACACGUGGAUAACCUACCUAUAAGACUGGGAUAACUUCGGGAAACCGGAGCUAAUACCGGAUAAUAUAUUGAACCGCAUGGUUCAAUAGUGAAAGACGGUUUUGCUGUCACUUAUAGAUGGAUCCGCGCCGCAUUAGCUAGUUGGUAAGGUAACGGCUUACCAAGGCGACGAUGCGUAGCCGACCUGAGAGGGUGAUCGGCCACACUGGAACUGAGACACGGUCCAGACUCCUACGGGAGGCAGCUGUAGGGAAUCUUCCGCAAUGGGCGAAAGCCUGACGGAGCAACGCCGCGUGAGUGAUGAAGGUCUUCGGAUCGUAAAACUCUGUUAUUAGGGAAGAACAAAUGUGUAAGUAACUAUGCACGUCUUGACGGUACCUAAUCAGAAAGCCACGGCUAACUACGUG